rnacentral:rRNA from 1 species
AGUUUGAUCCUGGCUCAGGACGAACGCUGGCGGCGUGCCUAAUACAUGCAAGUCGAGCGGACCGACGGGAGCUUGCUCCCUUAGGUCAGCGGCGGACGGGUGAGUAACACGUGGGUAACCUGCCUGUAAGACUGGGAUAACUCCGGGAAACCGGGGCUAAUACCGGAUGCUUGAUUGAACCGCAUGGUUCAAUCAUAAAAGGUGGCUUUYAGCUACCACUUACAGAUGGACCCGCGGCGCAUUAGCUAGUUGGUGAGGUAACGGCUCACCAAGGCGACGAUGCGUAGCCGACCUGAGAGGGUGAUCGGCCACACUGGGACUGAGACACGGCCCAGACUCCUACGGGAGGCAGCAGUAGGGAAUCUUCCGCAAUGGACGAAAGUCUGACGGAGCAACGCCGCGUGAGUGAUGAAGGUUUUCGGAUCGUAAAACUCUGUUGUUAGGGAAGAACAAGUACCGUUCGAAUAGGGCGGYACCUUGACGGUACCUAACCAGAAAGCCACGGCUAACUACGUGCCAGCAGCCGCGGUAAUACGUAGGUGGCAAGCGUUGUCCGGAAUUAUUGGGCGUAAAGCGCGCGCAGGCGGUUUCUUAAGUCUGAUGUGAAAGCCCCCGGCUCAACCGGGGAGGGUCAUUGGAAACUGGGGAACUUGAGUGCAGAAGAGGAGAGUGGAAUUCCACGUGUAGCGGUGAAAUGCGUAGAGAUGUGGAGGAACACCAGUGGCGAAGGCGACUCUCUGGUCUGUAACUGACGCUGAGGCGCGAAAGCGUGGGGAGCGAACAGGAUUAGAUACCCUGGUAGUCC